rnacentral:rRNA from 1 species
AACGCGUGAGAACCUGCCUUCAGAAUGGGGACAACAGUUGGAAACGACUGCUAAUACCCAAUGUGCCGAAAGGUGAAAGAUUUAUCGUCUGAAGAUGGGCUCGCGUCUGAUUAGCUAGAUGGUGGGGUAAGAGCCUACCAUGGCAACGAUCAGUAGCUGGUCUGAGAGGAUGAGCAGCCACACUGGGACUGAGACACGGCCCAGACUCCUACGGGAGGCAGCAGUGGGGAAUUUUCCGCAAUGGGCGAAAGCCUGACGGAGCAAUACCGCGUGAGGGAGGAAGGUCCUUGGAUUGUAAACCUCUUUUAUCAGGGAAGAAAAAAAUGACGGUACCUGAUGAAUAAGCAUCGGCUAACUCCGUGCCAGCAGCCGCGGUAAUACGGAGGAUGCAAGCGUUAUCCGGAAUUAUUGGGCGUAAAGCGUCCGUAGGUGGUUUUGCAAGUCUGCUGUUAAAGAAUGGAGCUUAACUCCAUAAGAGCGGUGGAAACUGCAAGACUAGAGUACAGUAGGGGUAGCAGGAAUUCCCAGUGUAGCGGUGAAAUGCGUAGAUAUUGGGAAGAACAUCGGUGGCGAAAGCGUGCUACUGGGCUGAAACUGACACUGAGGGACGAAAGCUAGGGUA